ACUCCUACGGGAGGCAGCAGUAGGGAAGUCUUCCACAAUGGGCGCGAAAGCCUGAUGGAGCAACACCGCGUGAGUGAAGAAGGGUUUCGGCUCGUAAAGCUCUGUUGUUAAAGAAGAACACGUAUGAGAGUAACUGUUCAUACGUUGACGGUAUUUAACCAGAAAGUCACGGCUAACUACGUGCCAGCAGCCGCGGUAAUACGUAGGUGGCAAGCGUUAUCCGGAUUUAUUGGGCGUAAAGAGAGUGCAGGCGGUUUUCUAAGUCUGAUGUGAAAGCCUUCGGCUUAACCGGGAGAAGUGCAUCGGAAACUGGAUAACUUGAGUGCAGAAGAGGGUAGUGGAACUCCAUGUGUAGCGGUGGAAUGCGUAGAUAUAUGGAAGAACACCAGUGGCGAAGGCGGCUACCUGGUCUGCAACUGACGCUGAGACUCGAAAGACGAU
rnacentral:rRNA from 1 species